GCUAGGAUGGCAGAGCCCGGCCAAGUGCAAAAGACCUAAGAUCUUUAUAACAGAGGUUCAAAUCCUCUCCCUAGUU
rnacentral:tRNA from 1 species